UGUUUAUAAUGCGGAAGUAGGACUUUGAAGAAUUUUAUUGAAUUAUACUUAUUGUUGUCGUGAAGGAGGAGGUACAUUUCGAACUUAAUCGAACAAAGUCUCUACAAAAUCUUUUAACGAAAAAUAUAUACUGAUUGAUUUUGCAACAAAAAGUAUAGCGCUGUUCCAGUGUCAUUAUUAAGGAAAAAUAAAUCCGGACGCUGACAGCACUUUGACAAAACAAGACAACAAAAUGAAUGUUAGUCCGGUUGCUAGGGAAGAAUCAAAUAACAACAAAUGUGCUUCUAAUGAACGUCCAAAUUUGUAUUGGCAUGAAUGUGUUACCGUGGGAACAAAAGGAGUUAACA